rnacentral:sRNA from 1 species
CUUCAACUUGCUUCAUUGGCUUUACGAAGUAUUUGAAAUGGUGUUUUUAUGGAAUCACUUUUGAUUCAUGUGUUUAAACUUUGACAUCUGUAUGUGAGAAUUCCCUGUCCUGCUCUUCUAAUCAUCCAUAAGUCGACAGCAGUGUUGUUUCUUAGAAGUUUGGUUUAUUGAAUUUGAAUAUAAACACGAAGUAAAGAAUGCUGCUUCUCCAUGGGAGGGGUUGAACACAUUCAUUGCUGUAGUUCUCUUCCCUCUCUACAUUUCUUUCAUAUUCAGUUUAUUUAUUUUGAUGUUUAGGGUUACAAAGUUAUAAGUGCUGCCUUGUAGCUAGUUUUUGGAAACAAUUCAAAAUGUUUAUUCUUUGACUGUUUUCUUGUGGGGAGAGUGAAGGGUGGGAAAGAGGGGCAAGAACACUUAAGAAAAUUAAGAUAAAGACUGCUCAGCUGAAGUUUUAUAAAAAUCUGACUUGAGUGUUUUUCUCUUCAUUUGCUGUGCUUGUGUAAACAGUGUGACACCAUCGCCACAACAGGCUCGGGUCUGUCCUCCCCAUAUGUUACCUGAAGAUGGAGCUAAUCUUUCCUCUGCUCGUGGCAUUUUGUCGCUUAUCCAGUCUUCUACUCGUAGGGCAUACCAGCAGAUCUUGGAUGUGCUGGAUGAAAAUCGCAGACCUGUGUUGCGUGGUGGGUCUGCUGCCGCCACUUCUAAUCCUCAUCAUGACAACGUCAGGUAUGGCAUUUCAAAUAUAGAUACAACCAUUGAAGGAACGUCAGAUGACCUGACUGUUGUAGAUGCAGCUUCACUAAGACGACAGAUAAUCAAACUAAAUAGACGUCUACAACUUCUGGAAGAGGAGAACAAAGAACGUGCUAAAAGAGAAAUGGUCAUGUAUUCAAUUACUGUAGCUUUCUGGCUGCUUAAUAGCUGGCUCUGGUUUCGCCGCUAGAGGUAACAUCAGCCCUCAAAAAUAUUGUCUCAACAGCUGGAAAUACAAAAGAUUUGCAAACUUCUUUGUUUCUGUCUCUGCAUUGUAUGCCAUUUUAUAGUCCACACCCUGAAAAUGUAUUUCUUCCAGAAAGUCUGGAGGAAGGACCUAUAUUUGUAGAAGUAAAGGUAUAUUCUGUCACUCAGCUGUAUUCACGUCUGAGCAGUUCUGCAGUAACACCUGCUUAAAAUUCUCCCUUUGCAUGUUUUGUAAAUAGGCUCCAGUUUUGUUUUUUAAAAGGAAUUUAUUUUUUGCCUCAUCAGUCCACCCAACUGAUUCUGAGUGGGAGAGAGUCUGUAGAGAAUUGAUUCAGAAAAGUGUCUGUGAAAGAAAAACAAUUAUUUUGUCCUGUUUCUCAAACAGUGUUAAGCAGUUUUGUUAAUAGACACUUUUGCAUCGACACUUCAACAUUAACACUUUCAAAGUCAUGGUCUGGUGCCAGAUUUAAGAAACUCGAACCACCUAAUAUUUCAUAACCUUCUUCAUUAGGUACUUGUACAGAUUAAUUUCUAACAUUGCAGCAGUUUCAUAUGUGUGCAAUAUGUGCAUUCUUUCAUUUUAGUUUUGCACUUGGUUUUCUAUAAAGUACGUUUUUACUCAGUUCAUGUGUGAACAAUUUAAAAAACUACAGAAUAAGGUACAAAUGUAGUGUAUUUAAUAAACUGUCAACCAAAGAA